AUGGAAGGAGCACGGUGCCACGUAGCCAGGCAGUGUUUGCUGAACUUUUUCUGGCUUGCAUGUGCAGUCCAAAUUUCAAAUAUUUCCAAGAAAUUGCCUCUACAAAUGCAAGACAUAAUAAUGAAACAACAAGGAUUGAAAACUACUUGGAAAUGUCCAGGCAGCAGCUUCAUGGCUCUGAGCAGCAAUAAGUACAACAGUGCAGAACUGAGUGCUGACCACAGAAAUGCUGCCAACACAAAACUGUGCAGCAGGACAGCCACAGCUGUGCACCGGGAGUCUGCAGGAGGAUCCACCACGUCACAGCAGUGAUGUUCUGUCUGGUCAGUCAGAGCUGAGGAUUUGAGUGUUACUUGCAAUAAUUGAAACCUUCCUGGAGCUCACAGUUUCAGCCUCUGAGGAAAAUGUCAUUCAACAGAAACAAAAAGAGAAAAGGAAGAAGAGUCACCACUUCAUACCAUUCUCACACAAAAUAAAAAUUUAUGAGUAAUAAAA
rnacentral:lncRNA from 1 species